AGGAUGAACGCUGGCGGCGUGCUUAACACAUGCAAGUCGAACGAGAAAGCUCCUUCGGGAGUGAGUACAGUGGCGAACGGGUGCGUAACACGUUGGUGACCUGCCUUGAGGAGGGGGACAACCGUGGGAAACCACGGCUAAUACCCCGGAUGUCUAAACUGUUAGAGGGUUUAGACUAAAGCUUCGGUGCCUCAAGAGGGGCCUGCGGGCUAUCAGCUUGUUGGUGGGGUAAUGGCCUACCAAGGCUAAGACGGCUAGGGGGCGUGAGAGCGCGACCCCCCACAAUGGAACUGAGACACGGUCCAUACUCCUACGGGAGGCAGCAGUGAGGAAUAUUGCGCAAUGGGGGAAACCCUGACGCAGCAACGCCGCGUGAACGAUGAAGGCCUUCGGGUCGUAAAGUUCUUUUCUAAGGGAAGAUAGUGACGGUACCUUAGGAAUAAGUCCCGGCUAACUACGUGCCAGCAGCCGCGGUAAAACGUAGGGGGCGAGCGUUAUCCGGAUUUAUUGGGCGUAAAGCGCACGUAGGUGGCGCUGUAAGUUAGACGUGAAAGCUCUCGGCUCAACUGAGAGAGGUCGUUUAAAACUGCAGUGCUUGAGGUUAGAAGAGGAGAGCAGAAUUCCCGGUGUAGUGGUGGAAUGCGUAGAUAUCGGGAGGAAUACCAGUGGCGAAGGCGGCUCUCUAGUCUACACCUGACACUGAGGUGCGAAAGCGUGGGUAGCGAACGGGAUUAGAUACCCCGGUAGUCCACGCUGUAAACGAUGGAUACUAGGUGUAGGGGGUCAUUUAACCCCUCUGAGCCGAAGCAAACGCGUUAAGUAUCCCGCCUGGGGACUACGGCCGCAAGGUUAAAACUCAAAGGAAUUGACGGGGCACCGCACAAGCAGCGGAGCGUGUGGUUUAAUUCGAUGAUACGCGAAGAACCUGACCUGGGCUGAACUACGUGGUAGUACUGAAGCGAAAGCGGAUCGACCCUUCGGGGAGCCUCGAUAGGUGCUGCAUGGCUGUCGUCAGCUCGUGUCGUGAGAUGUU
rnacentral:rRNA from 1 species